UACGUAGGGGGGCAAGCGUUGUCCGGAAUCAUUGGGCGUAAAGCGCGCGUAGGCGGCCCGAUAAGUCUGCUGUGAAAGUCCAGGGCUCAACCCUGGAAUGCCGGUGGAUACUGUCGGGCUAGAGUUCGGAAGAGGCAAGUGGAAUUCCUGGUGUAGCGGUGGAAUGCGCAGAUAUCAGGAGGAACACCUAUAGCGAAGGCAGCUUGCUGGGACGACACUGACGCUAAGGCGCGAAAGCGUGGGGAGCGAACAGG
rnacentral:rRNA from 1 species